rnacentral:rRNA from 1 species
CCGGCGAACGGGUGCGUAACACGUGAGCAACCUGCCGCGCUCUGGGGGAUAGCCGGCCCAACGGCCGGGUAAUACCGCAUACGUUCUUUGGGGGAGUCCCCUGAAGAGGAAACCUCCGGGGGAGCGCGAGGGGCUCGCGGCCUAUCAGCUAGUUGGCGAGGUAACGGCUCACCAAGGCAACGACGGGUAGCUGGUCUGAGAGGAUGGCCAGCCACAUUGGGACUGAGAUACGGCCCAG